rnacentral:lncRNA from 1 species
UUUUUUUUAAUUCAUUUUUUUUUUAUAUACAUAUAUUUAGAUCUGCACAUUUUUUUCAUAACUAACUACCCUGAUUUUUCCUAAACCCUGACAAUUUCGCCACAAACUCUAAAUUUCAAACCUAAAACUUUAACCGUGUUGUUUCCUCUAAACCAUAAACCUUUUCUUAAACCUUAACAAACCUUAUUAUUAUUUCCUAUUUUCGCUCAUAUUUAUGUUAUUCAUACACUGUAACUGCUUCGCCCUUGUAAUAUUUUAAGUUUUAACUUGUAAUAUUUUCAGUUUUACUUUUCGCCAUCUUUAUUAUGUAACUGCACCAAAGCGUUGUAAUAAUUAGGGUUUUAUUUUCUGCCAUUUAUUUUCUGCCAUUUUAUUUUUCUGCCAUUUAUUUUUC